GACGAACGCUGGCGGCGUGCUUAACACAUGCAAGUCGAGCGGUAAGGCCCUUUCGGGGGUACACGAGCGGCGAACGGGUGAGUAACACGUGGGUGACCUGCCCUCAGCUCUGGGAUAAGCCUGGGAAACCGGGUCUAAUACCGGAUAUGACUCCAUGACGCAUGUUGUGGGGUGGAAAGCCUUGUGCGGCUGAGGAUGGGCCCGCGGCCUAUCAGCUUGUUGGUGGGGUGAUGGCCUACCAAGGCGACGACGGGUAGCCGGCCUGAGAGGGCGACCGGCCACACUGGGACUGAGACACGGCCCAGGACUCCUACGGGAGGCAGCAGUGGGGAAUCUUGCGCAAUGGGCGAAAGCCUGACGCAGCGACGCCGCGUGAGGGAUGACGGCCU
rnacentral:rRNA from 1 species